AUAGGAUAAUAUUAAGCUCUUAAGUUCUAAUUAAAAACAGGCGAUCCUAAUCGUUUGUUGAGGAAAAAGUUGUUGUCUUGAGAAAAAGAUGCAACUAUCAUGACAUGAGAUUUUUAUUGUGCUUUGAAUUGUAGGGAGAAACCUCAAUCAAAUCGAACCAUUGUCUGAGCAAUAUGAGAUAUUUAGAAAAUAUUACCCUUGACAUUUAUCAAUUCAAUAUAAAUACCUGAACAUGCUUUUUCAGUUGGGCUGGCACAUGUUUCAGUGUCUCAGCAAUGUAGCACUCGACGUCUUUCUCUCCAAGUUCGGACUUGCAUUUCAUGACUGCAUCUGGAACAAAACAGAAAAAAAACAAAACAAAUAUUAUACUCACGUUUGAUGACUUUGCACACAGAUGUGUCAAUCAGAGGCAACUUCUCCCUUUUACCCUUCAGACUGAAGUGGCUCCACACAAUGUUUGUCGCCACUGCCCGCAUCACUCUCCUGACACAAUCCCCUGGACUGGCCCCACCAAUAAGGCUGAGAUGGUGAAUCUGUGAAAAACCACGUUUUGGCAUGCAGAUCAAGGAAGUGGCGUUUCCUCAGUAGGAGAAGUAUUUCUCUCUGGGUGGCUGCCAGGCUGUCUACUUUUUGAAGCAGAACCUGCAGUGUUACUGCAAUCAAAGAGCACCAGUUUACACAUCUCAGCAUAGGUGUAGGGUGAACCAACUCCAGGAUCGGCGGCGGCGGCGCUUCCGCAAUGAGGAGCGAGCACGUGCACAUGGUUGCCAGAUUGCUUAAGAUAAACAAAACACCGGGCAGAAAAUGUAUCCUUUUAUCUCUUGUGCGGACGUGAUAUUGGAUAUUCCGCGCGUUCUUUUGGGAAAGUAUGCUUGAAUUUGAAAUAUUCAGUAUUCACGAUAUUUUCAAAUUUGACAUCGUCAUCAUAAUUAUUGCGCUAUUAUCGCUAAUAUCCGAUGUAUCGCUCAGCCCUACUAUCAGUGGGUCCAUUUAUUUUUAGAGAAUUCACCUCAGUGUUUGAUUAAAUCAUUUAUUCAGUUCUACCUUUAGGUAAAUCAUGUGAUGGAGUCGGAACUGAAUGGUCACAGAAGAUCUUAAUGGACUACACAAUACUCAAGGCUGAAUGUAAUGCAUUGCAUACCAUCGCUGCUGUCAUCAUAUCUGACAGAUAUACACCCCCAGAAGAAAUGAGUGACAGGGCUCCAUGAACAAUGAGGGUGUGUUCCACUUCGUACCAUCUUCUUUAUUGAAUGCAGGUACGUUUCAAAUUUAAAUGCACUGCAGUUGUCCAGACCAUUGAAUUGUACAGCAUCAUCAGUGAUGUGGAGCAUUGAGUGGAUGUUGUACACUAUAAACUCAUUCCCAUAGAGCUCUCGUCCUCUGCUGACAAAGUAGCUUAGCAAGCUUCUAGCAUAUGCUGAGUGUUUUUCGAUCAGUGUUGGGGAAACUAGAAAGCACAUUGCCACACUGAAUGCCAAGAAAUGAAGGUACAUGUCAUGCCCAAGAAUUCCUUUCAACACAAGCUUGCCUGUAUAAAGCAUGAAUUGACGGAAUUCUGUUGCCUUCCAUCUCUCAAGCUCAUCCAGGCCUCGAGGGGUGCGAGAAAAGAUGGAAGGUAUUUGAUUUCGCAGUUGAAGCAACCUGG